AUCCUUUUGUAGUUCAUGAGUGUGAUGGAUUGGGUGUUCAUAUGCAUGUGUGAGAUGCGCCACCAUUGAACCUUGUUAAGAUAUGGACACAUUACCACCUGUCUGACA